GCAGGCAGGUGGGACUAGUGUAGCUGGGACAUUGUUGGCCGUUGUGGGCGAGUUGGGCCAAAGGGCCUGUUUCCACACUGUAUCACUCUAUGACUCUAUAACUGCAAGAUCGGAGAUCGAAGCUAUUUUAAUAAUUCAAUCUAUCAUCUUGCUGGCAUUGAGGGAGGGAUUGUUAUCUUGACACCAUGUUAGUAAGCUCUCUAUCUCCUUCUUGCAGACAUCAGUGUUCCAUGUCUGGAGUGGAGCCAUCUGCAAACCUGUAAGUGCAGUUAGAGCUGAACUUGGGCACACAGUGGUGACUUGAUUAGUACGGGUGCUGGGGGUUAUGGGGAGAAGGCAGGAGAAUGGGGUUAGGAGGGUCGGGUAGACCAGCCAUCAUUGAAUGGCGGAAUAAACUCGUUGGGCCAAAUGGCCUAUUUCUGACCCUUUCACUUUUGAACUUAGGAAUGUAGAGGGAGAAAAGUCAAGGUCUAAUAACACAUCUUUGAAGGGCAUCGGAGUUGAGAUUCAGCGUGGAGGACGUUUUCCUGUCUAUCCUCACUAAUUUUGGUCAAUGGAGGAAGCCAUUGUACAUCAAGUAGACCCAUCUACAAUGAAUAUACUGUCUACCUUAGUCAAAAUAUUCUUCUCCUUUGAGGCAAGCUCAGGAGAAGGCUGAGGAAACUAUUCCCCCUUUCUCCUGCCUCCCGUCUUUAGAUAUGUGUGGGAAGGAACUGCAGAUGCUGGUUUACAUCGAAGAUAGACACAAAAUGCUGGAGUAACUCAGCGGGACAGGCAGCAUCUCUGGAGAGAGUGAUUAGGGUUGAGUCCCUUCCUCAGACUCUAUAUGGAGAUUUGCUCCUCUAGAAUGUUUUUACUUUAAGUCUGGACUUUGAAGGGAAUAGGCAGAGUAACAGUGAAACUAGA